UACGGGGGGAGCAAGCGUUGUUCGGAAUCACUGGGCGUAAAGGGCGCGUAGGCGGCUUGGUAAGUGGAGUGUGAAAGCCCCCGGCUCAACCGGGGAGGGUCGCUCCAAACUGCCGGGCUUGAGUGCGGGAGAGGAGACUGGAAUUCUCGGUGUAGCGGUGAAAUGCGCAGAUAUCGGGAAGAACACCGGUGGCGAAGGCGAGUCUCUGGCCCGUUACUGACGCUGAGGCGCGAAAGCUGGGGGAGCAAAC
rnacentral:rRNA from 1 species